rnacentral:rRNA from 1 species
CCUACGGGUGGCUGCAGUGAGGAAUAUUGGUCAAUGGCCGGAAGGCUGAACCAGCCAAGCCGCGUGAAGGACGAAGGUGCCAAGCAUUGUAAACUUCUUUUGUCAAGGGACAAAAUCAGGCUCGAGAGCCUGACCGAGGGUAUUUGAAGAAAAAGCAUCGGCAAACUCCGUGCCAGCAGCCGCGGUAAUACGCAGGAUGCGAGCGUUAUCCGGUGUUAUUGUGUUUAAAGGGUGUGUAGGCGGGCUGUUAAGUCCGCGGUAAAAGCCCGGGGCUCAACCCCGGAGAGCCGUUGAAACUGGCUGUCUUGAGAUGUCGAGGGGUAUGCGGAAUGCGCAGUGUAGCGGUGAAAUGCUUAGAUAUUGCGCAGAACUCCGAUGGCGAAGGCAGCAGACCGGCGGCGAUCUGACGCUGAGGCACGAAAGCGUGGGUAUCGAACAGGAUUAGAUACCCGAGUAGUC